GACAGAGGGGGCAAGCGUUGCUCGGAAUCACUGGGCGUAAAGCGCACGUAGGCGGCUUCUUAAGUCAGGGGUGAAAUCCUGGAGCUCAACUCCAGAACUGCCUUUGAUACUGAGAAGCUUGAGUCCGGGAGAGGUGAGUGGAACUGCGAGUGUAGAGGUGAAAUUCGUAGAUAUUCGCAAGAACACCAGUGGCGAAGGCGGCUCACUGGCCCGGUACUGACGCUGAGGUGCGAAAGCGUGGGGAGCAAACAGG
rnacentral:rRNA from 1 species